rnacentral:rRNA from 1 species
AGAGUUUGAUCCUGGCUCAGAUUGAACGCUGGCGGCAGGCCUAACACAUGCAAGUCGAGCGGGAACUUCGGUUCUAGCGGCGGACGGGUGAGUAAUGCGUAGGGAGCUACCCGACAGAGGGGGAUACCAGUUGGAAACGACUGUUAAUACCGCAUAAUGUCUACGGACCAAAGUGUGGGACCUUCGGGCCACAUGCUGUCGGAUGCGCCUACGUGGGAUUAGCUAGUUGGUGAGGUAAUGGCUCACCAAGGCGACGAUCCCUAGCUGGUUUGAGAGGAUGAUCAGCCACACUGGAACUGAGACACGGUCCAGACUCCUACGGGAGGCAGCAGUGGGGAAUAUUGGACAAUGGGCGAAAGCCUGAUCCAGCCAUGCCGCGUGUGUGAAGAAGGCCUUCGGGUUGUAAAGCACUUUCAGUAGGGAGGAAGAGUUGAGUGUUAAUAGUACUCAGCUUUGACGUUACCUACAGAAGAAGCACCGGCUAACUCUGUGCCAGCAGCCGCGGUAAUACAGAGGGUGCAAGCGUUAAUCGGAAUUACUGGGCGUAAAGCGCACGCAGGCGGUUGGUUAAGUCAGAUGUGAAAGCCCCGGGCUCAACCUGGGAAUUGCAUUUGAAACUGGCCAACUAGAGUACGUGAGAGGGGGGUAGAAUUCCAAGUGUAGCGGUGAAAUGCGUAGAGAUUUGGAGGAAUACCAGUGGCGAAGGCGGCCCCCUGGCACGAUACUGACGCUCAGGUGCGAAAGCGUGGGGAGCAAACAG